GACAGAGGGUGCAAACGUUGUUCGGAAUUACUGGGCGUAAAGCGCGUGUAGGCGGCCAUCUAAGUCGGGCGUGAAAUCCCACGGCUCAACCGUGGAAGUGCACUCGAAACUGGAUGGCUAGAGUCCUGGAGAGGAAGGUGGAAUGCUUGGUGUAGAGGUGAAAUUCGUAGAUAUCAAGCGGAACACCGGUGGCGAAGGCGGCCUUCUGGGACAGUGACUGACGCUGAGACGCGAAAGCGUGGGGGAGCAAACAGG
rnacentral:rRNA from 1 species